AAAUCAAGGCUGAGGCGUGAUGACGAGGCACUGCGGUGCUGAAGCAACAAAUGCCCUGCUUCCAGGAAAAGCCUCUAAGCAUCAGGUAACAUCAAAUCGUACCCCAAACCGACACAGGUGGUCAGGUAGAGAAUACCAAGGCGCUUGAGAGAACUCGGGUGAAGGAACUAGGCAAAAUGGUGCCGUAACUUCGGGAGAAGGCACGCUGAUAUGUAGGUGAAGUCCCUCGCGGAUGGAGCUGAAAUCAGUCGAAGAUACCAGCUGGCUGCAACUGUUUAUUAAAAACACAGCACUGUGCAAACACGAAAGUGGACGUAUACGGUGUGACGCCUGCCCGGUGCCGGAAGGUUAAUUGAUGGGGUUAGCGCAAGCGAAGCUCUUGAUCGAAGCCCCGGUAAACGGCGGCCGUAACUAUAACGGUCCUAAGGUAGCGAAAUUCCUUGUCGGGUAAGUUCCGACCUGCACGAAUGGCGUAAUGAUGGCCAGGCUGUCUCCACCCGAGACUCAGUGAAAUUGAACUCGCUGUGAAGAUGCAGUGUACCCGCGGCAAGACGGAAAGACCCCGUGAACCUUUACUAUAGCUUGACACUGAACAUUGAGCCUUGAUGUGUAGGAUAGGUGGGAGGCUUUGAAGUGUGGACGCCAGUCUGCAUGGAGCCGACCUUGAAAUACCACCCUUUAAUGUUUGAUGUUCUAACGUUGACCCGUAAUCCGGGUUGCGGACAGUGUCUGGUGGGUAGUUUGACUGGGGCGGUCUCCUCCUAAAGAGUAACGGAGGAGCACGAAGGUUGGCUAAUCCUGGUCGGACAUCAGGAGGUUAGUGCAAUGGCAUAAGCCAGCUUGACUGCGAGCGUGACGGCGCGAGCAGGUGCGAAAGCAGGUCAUAGUGAUCCGGUGGUUCUGAAUGGAAGGGCCAUCGCUCAACGGAUAAAAGGUACUCCGGGGAUAACAGGCUGAUACCGCCCAAGAGUUCAUAUCGACGGCGGUGUUUGGCACCUCGAUGUCGGCUCAUCACAUCCUGGGGCUGAAGUAGGUCCCAAGGGUAUGGCUGUUCGCCAUUUAAAGUGGUACGCGAGCUGGGUUUAGAACGUCGUGAGACAGUUCGGUCCCUAUCUGCCGUGGGCGCUGGAGAACUGAGGGGGGCUGCUCCUAGUACGAGAGGACCGGAGUGGACGCAUCACUGGUGUUCGGGUUGUCAUGCCAAUGGCACUGCCCGGUAGCUAAAUGCGGAAGAGAUAAGUGCUGAAAGCAUCUAAGCACGAAACUUGCCCCGAGAUGAGUUCUCCCUGACUCCUUGAGAGUCCUGAAGGAACGUUGAAGACGACGACGUUGAUAGGCCGGGUGUGUAAGCGCAGCGAUGCGUUGAGCUAACCGGUACUAAUGAACCGUGAGGCUUAACCUUACAACGCCGAAGCUGUU
rnacentral:rRNA from 1 species